rnacentral:lncRNA from 1 species
UUUUUAAAUUCUCAAUAAUCCGCUGCAUAUAUUGAGGGGGAGUAUUCAUUGAUACAUGUGGUCUUCCUUGUGCUCUUCAAAAUUGAAGGUUGUUAGUUCAAAAAUGUUAUCCAAGUUGGCCAUUUGCAUUUUUCUGCAGAUUUUGUACUCUUGAAUGGAUGUUUUCUGUUCUUGUUGAUAGCAUUUUCCCUUUGUCAUUCCUAGACAAAAAGGGGGAGAAGUAUUUGGUGGCUUUUGUGGCUGUUCCUUAUUGAUAAUACUUCAUCUCAAAUGCUUGGUUACAUUGUUUAUUUUGCAGCUGCUGUCUAAGUGUUAGGCUAGUCUUGUGUUGCAAAGUAGUGUUUUGUUUAGGAAUGCCAAAGGGGGAGAAUGUUAGUAUAGUGUUGGCAUUCCUUCUUCACAAAACUCUACUCAUUAAGAAGCCCAAGGUUGCAGCCCAAGCCCAUAAUUGUUUAAUUACAAUUGUUGUGGUUGCCUUGCUGUCAGCUUCCCCAUCUUAGCAUGAUUGCAACUUGCCUCUUCUUAUCUUGCUGUCAAAGACCCACGUGAAGACGUACUUGAAGAUCAGUUUGCUGGCAGCUUCCCCACUUUAGCUUGAUAGAGAAAUUGCAACUUAAUUACUUCCUCUUCUCUUGUGUGUGGGUACCUUGCUGUCGAAAGCCAAAGGCAAAGUUUGAAGACUAGUUCAAUUGGAACUUGCUACCUCAUCAGUUUGCUACUUUGCUACCGUGCUAUCGUGCUUCCCCAUCCUAUCUCAUAUUGCUGUCUUGUCCAAGAUCAAGCUUAAAUCUUGAAGAUCAAAAGAAGACCCAUCUUCAUCUUGGCUCCGGUAAGCUCGUGCAUGGCAUCUCUUUCACAAAACCAUGGGUUUUUCAUGGGUUCCCUUCUUGUGUCAGUGUUGAUUAAGGAGUUGGAGUGUUUGGCUUAUUGAAUUGGUAUUCCCAAUUGAAAUUAGGAGCAUGGGUCUACAUGGGCAAUCUGAAAUUAUGGGU